AACGCGAAGAACCUUACCAACCUUUGACAUGUCCUCUAUGGGUCUAGGAGACUAGACUCUUCACUUCGGGUGGGAGGAACACAGGUGCUGCAUGGCUGUCGUCAGCUCGUGUCGUGAGAUGUUGGGUUAAGUCCCGCAACGAGCGCAACCCUCAUCUUUAGUUGCCACCAGGUAAGGCUGGGCACUCUAAAGAACCGCCGGUGAUAAGCCGGAGGAAGGCGGGGAUGACGUCAAGUCCUCAUGGCCCUUACAGGUUGGGCUACACACGUACUACAAUGGUGGUGACAGUGGGUUGCGAAGUCGCGAGACGGAGCCAAUCCCCAAAAGCCAUCUCAGUUCAGAUUGCACUCUGCAACUCGAGUGCAUGAAGUUGGAAUCGCUAGUAAUCGCAGAUCAGCACGCUGCCGGUGAAUACGUUCCCGGGCCUUGUACACACCGACUGUAC
rnacentral:rRNA from 1 species